rnacentral:rRNA from 1 species
GGAUUCCCUUAGUAACUGCGAGUGAAGUGGGAUGAGCUCAAAUUUGAAAUCUGGUAGUCUCUGACUGCCCGAGUUGUAAUCUAGAGAAGUGUUUUCUGUGCUGGACUGUGUUCAAGUUUCCUGGAUAUGGAACAUCAUAGAGGGUGAGAAUCCCGUCUUUAACACAGACUGCCAGUGCUAUGUGAUGCACUCUCAACGAGUCGAGUUGUUUGGGAUUGCAGCUCAAAAUGGGAGGUAAAUUCCUUCUAAAGCUAAAUAUUGGCAAGAGACCGAUAGUGAACAAGUACCGUGAGGGAAAGAUGAAAAGCACUUUGGAAAGAGAGUUAAACAGUACGUGAAAUUGUUAAAAGGGAAACAAUUGAAGUCAGUUGCAUCUACUUGGACUCAGCCUUGCCUUUGGUUUGGUGCAUUUCCUUGUGGAUGGGCCAGUGUCCAUGCUUAAUUGCUGGAAAAAGGGGUUAGGGAAUGUGGCUCCUUUUGGGGAGUGUUUAUAGCCUUGGCUCAUAUACAGUGAUUAGUAUGGAGUGAUACAGCAUGCUUCGGUGGUGCUUGUACUGGCAUAAUGGCUUUAAAUGACCCGUCUUGAAACACGGACCAAGGAGUCUAACAUGUCUGCAAGUANUUUGAGUGUUAAAACUCAAGUGCAUAAUGAAAGUGAUAACUGGGAACCCUGAAGAAGGGGGCACCAGUGCCCCGAGCGGAUCUUCUGUGAUGCAUCGGAGGUAGAGCAAAUAUGUUGGGACCCGAAAGAUGGUGAACUAUGCCUGAAUAGGGUGAAGCCAGAGGAAACUCUGGUGGAGGCUCGUAGCGAUUCUGACGUGCAAAUCGAUCGUCAAAUUUGGGUAUAGGGGCGAAAG